CAGUUAAGAAGAGAACUGGGUGUUAACGGGUUGUUUAAUUCCCUGGUAGACCAGUUAUUGAGACCCCCAUAACAAGAGGACUGAAAUCAGAAGUGCAAACAAUGUAUGCAAGAAUUACAUUGCCUACAAAUGGCAUUUUGUCCUGGAGAAACAGGUACCAGAUGUUGCACUAAGCGUCUUAACUUUGCAAGCGUCCCUGCUGAAGGGCUUGUGGAUUCUUGCAGAAUCUGGUCCUCUCCAGCAAACCAGGUUUCCUUCCGAACGUGUCUGAACUGAGUUUUGAAGCUGGUUCUCAGGAGAAAACAGCCAGCAGAAAACCAUUGUCCAAGGGAACAGGAGAGAUGCGCAAAUGGCCUACGAACAACUGUGAGAUAGACUGAGCCUUCCUACGCAACAGGCAUGCAAAUGACCUUCUGCUUGCAAUUACUCUGCUUUCACAAACAACUUUGGAACAGCGAGCACGAAGAAGGCAUAUGUUUCUUAUGUGCCUUAUUUUAAAGAGGAUUUGGGGCAGUAGGCAUACUGUUCCUAGUGCAAAACACUGAGCAUGGGAACAUACGAAUUCACUUUUGCAUAGAUUAUUUUUCUAUCACAAUUCCACAUCCUUCAGCAAAUGCAUGCUUGGGAGCAGGUUCUCCCUCUCCGCAUUAGGCACUGAGUGGUGAGUGCUGUGUUCAGAGCACUGCUGUCAGGAACUGCCUCUGCAGGUGACGGAAAGGGGCAGGGUAGGGAGGUCUGCAGGCCUUGGUAA